GGUCUUCCUGCAGCUCCCACUGGCCAGCAUCUGUCAAAACUGAGGGACAGACUCCUGUGCAAGUCGAGGGAAAGCUGACUUUGAUGUCACUGGGCCUCAUGCCCCUAUUCUGGCUAUGGCUGGGGGACACGUGGAGUUACAGUGCCAGCUGUUCCCCAAUAUCAGUGCCGAGGACAUGGAGCUGAGGUGGUACAGGUGCCAGCCCUCCCUAGCUGUGCACAUGCAUGAGAGAGGGAUGGACAUGGAUGGAGAGCAAAAGUGGCAGUACAGAGGAAGGACCACCUUCAUGAGUGACCACGUGGCCAGGGGCAAGGCCAUGGUGAGGAGUCACAGGGUCACCACCUUUGACAACAGGACAUACUGCUGCCGCUUCAAGGAUGGUGUAAAGUUCGGCGAGGCCACUGUGCAGGUGCAGGUGGCAGGGCUGGGCAGAGAGCCCAGAAUCCAGGUGACAGACCAGCAGGAUGGAGUCAGGGCGGAGUGCACAUCAGCAGGCUGUUUCCCCAAGUCCUGGGUGGAACGGAGAGACUUCAGGGGCCAGGCUAGGCCUGCUGUGACCAAUCUA
ensembl:lncRNA novel transcript